rnacentral:rRNA from 1 species
CACGUAGUUAGCCGGUGCUUCUUCUGAAGGUACCGUCACCCCGAAGGGCUUCUUCCCAACUGAAAGAGGUUUACAACCCGAGGGCCGUCAUCCCUCACGCGGCGUCGCUGCAUCAGGGUUUCCCCCAUUGUGCAAUAUCCCCCACUGCUGCCUCCCGUAGGAGUCUGGGCCGUGUCUCAGUCCCAGUGUGGCCGGUCACCCUCUCAGGCCGGCUACCCGUCAAAGCCUUGGUAGGCCAUUACCCCACCAACAAACUGAUAGGCCGCGAGUCCAUCCAAAACCGCCUCAAGCUUUCAACCAACCACCAUGCGAUGGCCAGUCCUAUCCAGUAUUAGACCCAGUUUCCCAGGCUUAUCCCAGAGUUCAGGGCAGGUUACUCACGUGAUACUCACCCGUUCGCCACUCACUCCACCCCCAGCAAGCUGGGAGCUUCAGCGUUCGACUUGCAUGUGUUAAGCACGCCGCCAGCGUUCAUCCUGAGCCAGGAUCAAAACUCU